rnacentral:lncRNA from 1 species
GGAAUUGAACUCAGGACCUCUGGAAGAGCAGUCAGUGCUCUUAACCGCUGAGCCACAUCUCCAGCCCAAGUGUUCUGCAUCAUUUUUGCACUGUUAGCUAUUCACACAUUCUUCUCCCCACAUUAGUGCUUUCAUGGGACCUAUCCUGGGUGGAUUUCUGUGUGAGAAAAUCGGUUUCGAGUGGGCAGCAGCUAUACAAGGUCUAUGGACUCUGCUAAGUGUGAGUAACCAGGGAUGUGUGGGGUUUUCUUCCACUUUGGAGAUACUCAACUUGGAGGACUGACUUUGACAAUGUGUUUCACUGCAUUAAAGGGUGUUGCGAUGGCCUUGUUUUAUCUCUGGGAGGACUCAACGAUGAGAAGAUCUAAAGCUCAGAACAUCCUCGGCACAGAGGAGGAACAAGCUGCUCUCUUGCCCAAUGACACCUAGCCUUGCAAGCAGUGGAUUGAUCCAGACCAAGAGACAGGUGCAGUGUCCAGGAUCACAGCCUGGAGGAGCUUCCUGUGUGCCACGCAGAGAUCCAUACUUCCUGCACUCACACACAGCGAUGUCAAGCUGCUUUUACGUGACCUGGAGCCAGGCUGUGCUUCGUGUAGUUCUGGAAAGCUGGUUUGCCAAGGCAGCCUUUUGGAACAUCUAUGAGAAAGGGCAAACCAACAAAAGCCGGGGUUUCUAAAGGACCCACCUUGCCCAUUGGGGUGUUUUUAUUGACUGUCUGUGU